GAGAGUGUAGCUCAGUGGUAGAACAUGUGCUUGGCAUGCACGAGGUCCUGGGUUCAAUCCCCAGUACCUUCC
rnacentral:tRNA from 1 species